UAGGGAAUCUUCCACAAUGGACGCAAGUCUGAUGGAGCAACGCCGCGUGAGUGAAGAAGGUUUUCGGAUCGUAAGGCUCUGUUGUUGGUGAAGAAGGAUAGAGGCAGUAACUGGUCUUUAUUUGACGGUAAUCAACCAGAAAGUCACGGCUAACUACGUGCCAGCAGCCGCGGUAAUACGUAGGUGGCAAGCGUUGUCCGGAUUUAUUGGGCGUAAAGCGAGCGCAGGCGGAAUGAUAAGUCUGAUGUGAAAGCCCACGGCUCAACCGUGGAACUGCAUCGGAAACUGUCAUUCUUGAGUGCAGAAGAGGAGAGUGGAAUUCCAUGUGUAGCGGUGGAAUGCGUAGAUAUAUGGAAGAACACCAGUGGCGAAGGCGGCUCUCUGGUCUGCAACUGACGCUGAGGCUCGAAAGCAUGGGUAGCGAACAGG
rnacentral:rRNA from 1 species